ensembl:lncRNA
AUCAGGAUAAGAAAAUGACAGACAUUAGCAGCUCGGAAGAUGACCUUGGACAUGCCUUUUGAGGAGUCGAUGAUUGGUCGGCUGAAUUCCUUGGACAAGUUUGCAAGUGAGGAAUUUCACAAAUCAAAAGUUAGCAACAAAAGCCUCUGUAAAUUGUUAGAUGACCAGAUAAUAAGUGACAUGGCUGCACUCAAGGCUGAGCUCAGUGCCUUAAAAUCUCGCGUAGCAGACCAAGGCAAAAAAAUAGACGAUCUGAGAAAGCAGCUGGAAGGAAAGGGCAGCGGUGCUCCUGCCCACUCUGAAGGCCAGAAGAAACCAGCUUCCUCAGCCGACUGGACUCCUGAACGGAAGCAGAGAAGGUCUGAAGAGCUGGACGAGAUCCUGAUGCCUUUCUGGCCAGAGAGAUCCAAUGCAUGCGAGAAGCUGACUGAAAGGCAGCAGGCCUUCUUCAGCUAUGUGAUGGACGUGCUGAAAAUCAAAGAUCGGAGAAACCUGGAGACGAACGCGGCGACGGUCCUCAAAGAAGGGGUUUCCAGGGGCGUCUGGGAGGAGGACUGGACUCCUGCGGGAAUUAAAGUGACAUUCAAGCAAUACCUUGUAGAAAAAAUAAAAAAAUCACAUUACAGAGAGACAUAAGAAACUCUUCCAGAAGAGAGAACUAGAUAGGCUCAGAAAAAUGGUUGGUUAGGAAGAAGUGGGCCUGUUCAGUUGGGUUUAUUUCUAAGUUUGUGUUAAUGUUGUUUAUUGUGUUCAUUGUAUAGUUUUCAUGUAUAAAAAGCAUUGCAGCAUUUAGUAGUAUAGCACAACACAACACAACAAUACACAGUUAUAACCACACUCUCUAAAUAUUUAUAUGUAGGGUAAUUUAUUUUAUUUACCUGUGACAUUUUAUUUUUAUUUUAUUUUUGAUGUUUCUUCCGAACAUUAAACAGUUUGUGUUGCAAUAUCUGUGUCAAACUGUUUGUGUGUUUUCCCCCAUAUUGCAUUACUGUUCAAUAAUUUGUGCCAUAUACAUAUAGUUUGACUUUUCACUUUCACUUUUCACUUUAAAUGAACUGAAGCAAAUUAGGAGUAGAACAGCAGAAGACUCCACUGGUUUGUC